GCCGCUAAACCCCCAAUUUUUUGUGGUUGACCUCGGAUCAGGUAGGAAUACCCGCUGAACUUAAGCAUAU
rnacentral:rRNA from 1 species